GAUGAACGCUGGCGGCGUGCCUAACACAUGCAAGUCGAGCGUGAUUGUGUGGAUUGAAGCUUCGGCAGAGAGAAACACAUGAAAGCGGCGGACGGGUGAGUAACGCGUGGGCAACCUGCCCCGUACAGCGGAAUAGCCACUGGAAACGGUGAUUAAUGCCGCAUAAGACCCCGGUGUCGCAUGACACAGCGGUAAAAGAUUUAUCGGUAUGGGAUGGGCCCGCGUCUGAUUAGCUAGUUGGUGAGGUAACGGCUCACCAAGGCGACGAUCAGUAGCCGACCUGAGAGGGCGGACGGCCACACUGGAACUGAGACACGGUCCAGACUCCUACGGGAGGCAGCAGUGGGGAAUAUUGCACAAUGGGCGCAAGCCUGAUGCAGCAACGCCGCGUGAGUGAAGAAGGCCUUCGGGUCGUAAAGCUCUGUCCUGUGGGAAGAAAAAAAUGACGGUACCACAGGAGGAAGCCCCGGCUAACUACGUGCCAGCAGCCGCAGUAA
rnacentral:rRNA from 1 species